UGCGUUAUGUUGUGAGUAAGCUCUCACUGUCCCUGUAGGGCCAUGUAAUUUAAAACCAGGUUGAUGAAACUACUGGGUGACACCACACUGCAGAUAUUUGAUAUGUGCUCUUAAUGUCAUCACAUUAGUUUUAAUCAACAUGUCAUUUAUUACCCUCUGCAGUUUUCCCAUAGUGGCAUGUUUAUGAAAAAAGCUGUCUACUUAUUGAUGGUCAAUCUUGUGCGCAAAUUCUAACAGCUAAAGUGCGAACACUGCAGAAAGGUUUGGUUGUAGGUACACAGUGUAGCAGUGAGGAGCAAGGGUAAUGUUCCCUCUGAGAAUGUGACCUUUUGUUGCUGUUCAGCUGUUUGAUUAUUCAUAAAGUUUAAUUAACCAAAUGGGCAUUUAAAGGGAAUUCACUACAGAUGGUGUAAUCGGCUAAAUUUAGCACACUCAUUUGAUUAGUAAGAAUAAUUGUUCAUCACUAAACAUCAGAUUGCUCAAGUAUCUCUAAAAUGUGACACCCGUUCAACAGGAAGUAAACAACUUCUUCAAUGACAGAGCAAUUCACCCCUUAAAAAGAGUUAUAGGGGAUAUCUGAGUGUUGACUCAUUUUAUUUUAAAAGGGUUAACAUUUGAGGCUUAUGCUGGGGGGGAAAAAGAUGAAAAUGUUGUGAAAACAUGAUUGAUGUUUGAGAGGCUGCCAGCCACUUUUAGUAAACUACAGCAGAUAAAUCUCUGUCCUCAAAAUCAUUCAAGGCUUCUGUGUGGGACAUCUAAAAAUGAUGAACAGCGGGGACUUUCAUAUUUGACCUGACCGACCUCCUGGUCCUGUUUUAUAUCUUCAUAUAUCUUCCUGGUUGCAGCUGAGCCUGACUCCAGGCAGCUUGUCCUGUCUCAGGGCUAAGAUGAGCAUGCAUUGACCCGCCCUGAAAAACCAAGCGUCACUUAAGCUUUGAUCUUUCAGGGCGGGUCUUUCAGCAUCAUCAUGUUAAGAACUCUCCAUCAGUGAAUCAAAAAUGCCUCCUGAAAAAACAAAUGUAAUCCAAAAACAGCUGACUUAAAGAUCUAAAAACAACUAUAAAAACAUCUUGUGUCAGUGCCUUAUAGGAAUAUAAAUUAGAUAUAAGUCAGAGUGAUAUAGCAACUUCUAUAGAGAAAGAAAACAUGCCUUGAAUAGUAUAAAUUAACAAUCUGCAGCAUUUGCAUAUCAAAAGUCACAUUUUUUUAAACUACUUCUAUUUUCAAGCCACAUUUGCAUAGAGUGAGCUUUGAUGUGCAUUUGCUUGACUGCUCCUCAUGUCCAACCGACCCAUCUCUAUCCCCUAGAGGGCGCCCCACCCUUAUGUAUGUCCUUGGCAGAUUUGUGAAGUGGCUUCUGUUUAGAGGACAUGACUUGUCUGAAAAGGCAGCACCACUGUGAUGCUCUCAGGCUGCAUUUGUUCAUGCUGUCAUUACUCUUCAGAAAAGUGACGUAUUUGCUUUUUUUUUUCUUUGUGCUGUUAGCUGGAGGGAAAAACAGCCCGGCAUGUUUUGUAGGCCACUGUCACAAAGGCGCUCUGCUGGUGUCCCUGCAUGUCUCCAUGUGGCUAUUGUUGUUGUUGUUGUGCGCAUUGAUAGAUAACCCAGGCAGUGCUUGUACUAUGAUGCCAUUAGAUCUGUGAAUGCAAGCUGAAGAUUUCUUAUUCCAGUGUGUGCAUGUGCACGUGGGUGUGAGAGAUGAGUCAGUGUUUGCUGCGGAGGAUGACCUCGCUCUUUCUCAGUCUGAGCAAGAUAAGAUUUGACUUUCUAGAUGUGACACUUAGUAUACGGCUCUAGCUUCCAUCAGCCGUACUCUCCUCCUUUCGCUUGUUGUUUUGUUUAUUUUUUUUCCCCCCUCUUCUUCUCCUGGAAGUCAUGAAUAUGAAAUCAGAAGUGGCUUGUGUUGCAGCCAGUUCACUCGGCACCACAGUCAUCCCCCAAAUAUAAAAGACACCGCCCCAGGUUACACAGGCUUAUUCCUUUUAUUCGCCACAUGUAUUUUUUCAGAGUAGACUUCUCUGAACCCCUGCUCGCGAUGACUACUCCUUUUCUGAGAGUCUCAUCUGAGAGGAAGAAGGAAAUCCUUACUCGACUAUUUAACCUCCAGCCCCAUCAGGCUAAUCUGAAUUUCAAACUCAGGCACCUGCACAAAGGCACCAGCCGAAUUCACACUAGAGGCUCUCUGAGCUUAUUACACUUGUAUCACCCGGUUUAUUUUGGUUUCUUUAUAAGGUGCCACUCGGGCAAAAAUAAAGAGUUAUAUUGCUUUGGGUUGGAAGGGACUGAAGCAAGAGAAAACUGCUCAGUGAUCUAAGAAGGGAAGGAAUGUGGAGAGGAGGACAUACGUCUCGGCUGCCGGCAGACUGCUGGAACCAGGCCUCUGCUCCCAGAGCUCUCACCUUUUGCCCCUGGGGGCCACAGGGUCACGUCUUGCGUCUGUUGAUACUGUAAAAAGCUUUGUCUUCUUUAUGGCCGCUGAAGAGAGAAUGUGUCUGUCUUCCUGAGAAAGCCCAUUUGUUACCUUUUCUCUAAACCUUGUCAAAACUAACAUGAGACGUUUAAAAGAGAAAAGGAGUUUGUGUAUUUUAGUUGCCAUGGUUCACUGAAUGACAAGACAAGAAAUAGCUGCCAUUAGUCUAUUCGUUUCUGUGAUUAUUUUUAUUCUCUACCCGAAACCACAGAACAGGAAGGAACAAGUGCACAUCUUCGUACACUGGAUGCUGCUUUUUGCGAUAUUCAGGGGCUGCAUUGUUAUAAAAAUAAGACACCGUUUGUGUCAAUUCCACAGCUCUAUCCUUGAGUGAGUGCCCCCUAAGCUGUUGGUCAUGAGUACAAACCAAGCACAUCAAUGGCUGAAGUUGUUUUGAGUGAUCUUUAGUUGAACCAGCAUGAACAGAUUGUGUUGGCCACUUGGUGUCCGUGCAACAAGCUGUUCGCACAGCACUGACAUAUUAGUACUCUGAAAGGUUUAUCUGGCGUCAAUUUAGCACAAAGAUAUAUUCAGCUACUUUUAGUGUCUGAGCUGCCCUCUUUUUCCUGCAUCACUUUUUUGCCCAGUACAGUUAAAUUCCCACUCUGAUCUUUUUUUUUUUUUUACUACUUAAAGUGUUCUCAGUGGUCUUUAAAUUGUGAUUAUGAAGUUUUUACCAAAAAUCUCGUUACCUGUGUCAUUUUCAAGGGCUUUUCUUCUGCAGAGCUCCAGUAGAUCAUUAGCAAUUCACCUCUGAGUCGUGGGCGGAGACAGAGCUGCUCUGCACACUUGUCUUCACGUUUGCUUGCAGCCUAACAUUACGCUUCUCCUCUUCUGGUGUUUUUGUUCCGGGGUUAUGGGGGCGUGGCGCAUCCGCACAUGCAUUGUCUGAUCAUUCUCCGACUAUGCUGGUUACAUGGUAGAGAAAAUCGAAUUCCAAUCCCAUUAUCUGGGUGUUUUAAUUGGAGUUCUACGACUCCAAUCAGUUAUCAAACUCCGAUUAUAGUCGGACUAAGGUGUUUACAUGCACUUCAGUUGUCCGGUCUUAAUUGGAGUAAGGCAAUAAUUAGGUUUUCUCGAGUGUCGUACUGAGUGUUUCUAAACCUGCUGUUUGGGUCUGCUAGAGAUUCACAGUGAUUUGAAUGAGGAAAUACUUAGAAAAGCAAUUUCACUUUUUCUCAUGAUAUGUCCUGUAGCAUCAGAAAAAUGCCAUAUGAACAUAUAAAAAACAAGAAAAACACGAUUUUCAUUGGAGUGGGUCUUUAAAUCCAAUCUUCCUCCAUUUUUAUAUUAGUUUGGCUGCAUUAGGUGUAUACAAUUGGGUCACUUCAUCACAAGGGGUGCUGGUUUGGCCCUUGGUAGUUCACAUUAUGCACCCCAUGCAAAGAGGCUAUAGUCCCCAGAGUUUGUUUCCAACCUGUAGCUGUUUGCCGAUCAUCAUCCCUCACUUCCACUCUCUAUUCAGUGGCCUGUCCUCUCAAUAGUGGCAUAAAAGCUGGAAAUAAACAUCAUGUUCAUUAGCUAGCUGCCUGCCAGCAACUUCUGUCUAUGAUUUGGUUUUGAGCAGGUAGCAGUGCACACAGUGGGUACAUCAAAGCUUUUUGUGCUUCAAAAUAGCGACCUGCUGUUGCUUGUGCUUGAAAAGUGCUGGUGAGAGUGAAUCAAAGCGAACUCCUAAAACAAAACUACGAGAUGAUAAAUGAUAUAACACGAAGGAGAACUGAUAGGGCGAAACUGUGCAUUGAUUGAUUGAUUGUCAGUAUCAGAAGUAAUUGAUAUCUGAAGUGUUAAGUGCUUCUCCUCCACUGUUCUGCUCUCCAGAUAUUGUAGUUGAAAGUAACAGAGUUUUGGUUGAAAAAUAGGACAUUGCUUGUUCAAGGUGUUUGUCUUGGGUUUUGAGAUAAAUCUAGCAUUGAUUUAAAAAAAGAACAAAGAGUUUGUUUUUCCUCUGGUGUUUUAGCCUCAGAUUGUUGAAAAAAAAUUCCGGUUCAAUAGGACUGUUUUCUUAAGCUAAUUUACCCACAUGGACAGGUUUUUAGAGGCUAGGAAACCAGUGUGUCUGCUGAGUGUUUAAGUGCUGUAUUUACAGUGAGAUAAAUGAAUGGCCUUGUCUGCAGCUGUGAGAAAAGAGUCGGAUUGAA